AUUUCAAGGAUGGCAUGGGCUUUGGGCAUAGCAGUGAAGAUGCCGCUUGGGACACCCACAUCCUACAUAAGAGUGCCUGGAUUCAAGUCCAGCUCAGCUCCUGACUCCACCCUCCUGUUAGUGCACUCCCUGGAGGCAGCAGUCAGGAGCCAGGUGCUUCCUCCUGGUCUCUCAUGCGGGUGCAGGACCCAAGGACUUGGGCCAUCCUCCACUGCACUCCCGGGCCACAGCAGAGAGCUGGCCUAGAAGAGGGGCAACUGGGACAGAAUCCGGUGCCCCGACCGGGACUAGAAUCCAGUGUGCCGGCGCCACAGGCGGAGGAUUAACCUAUUGAGCUGCGGUGCUGGCCAUAUUCUCUCUUUUUUAAUUCUAUCUAUUAUUAUUACUAGGCACUUGAUUAUAUAUAUAUAAUCACUUUAACACUUAAUAUGAUUACUUUAACAACUAAGAUGGCAUUUUUUCCAUCAAGCUUAAUGGGAUUUAGAGUCCCAUGACAAGUUUUUAAACUGUACCCUUAGAAUUAAGUCCACAGGAAUAUAUGCAGAAUUAUAGAGCUUUACAGUUACAAACUUCCUCCUCCCUCUGUUAUUCCCAAUCUUAUUUUUUACUGAGAUCUAUUUUCAAAUGACUUUAUAUAUAUAUAUACACACAUAUAUAUGUACAUAUGUGUAUAUAUAUAUAUACAUACACACACACACACACACAUAUAUAUAUGGUUAACUGUUAAGGAAAGAGUUCAAAAAGUAGUAUGAAGAAAAAAUAACAACAAAAAAACCUGUUCCUCGACAUUCAAGAUAAGGGGAGCUCAAGACAUCCCUUCUUGAAGUGAAUGUUGAUUUCAGUUCUACAGAUUUUGUUUUAGGUGCUCUAUCAGUUCUCACAGAUGAGAGAGAACACAUGGUAUUUUUCCUUUUGGGACUAGCUUAUUUCACUAAGUAUGUUUUCAAGAUUCAUCCCUUUAGUUGCAAAUGAACUGAUUUCAUUUUUUCUUUACUGCUGUGUAGUAUUCCAUAGUGUAUGUAUCCCAAUAUUUCUCUAUCCAGUCUUUGGUUGAUGGGUAUUUAUUUUGAUUGUAUGCCUUAGCAUUGUGAAUCAAGCUGCAAUGAACAUGAAGGUGCAGAUAACUCUUUUGUUUACUGAUUUCAUUUCCCUUGGGUAAAUUCCCAGGAGUGGAAUGGCUGGGUCAAAUGGUAGGUCUAUAUUCAGAUUUUUGAGGUAUCUCCAAACUGUCUUCCAGAGCGGCUUUACCAGUUUACAUUCCCACCAACAGGGGAUUAGGGUACCAUUCCCCCCACAUCCUUGACAGCAUUUGUAGUUUGUAAUGUGUAUGAAAGCCAUUCUAAUGGGGCUGAGGUGAAACCUCAUUGUGGAUUUGAUUUGUAUUUCCCUGACAGCCUGACCCUUAACAAUUUUCAUGUGUCUGUUGGCCCUUUGGAUUUCUUGUUUUGCAAAGUGACUGUUUAAGUCCUUUCCUAUCUCUUAAGUGGGUUGUCUGUUUUGUUGUUGUGGAGUUUCUUGAUCACUUUGUAGAUUCUGGUUAUUACUCCUUUAUCAGUUGCAUAGUCUGCAAAUAAUUUCUCCCAUUCUGUCAGUUGCCCCUUCACUUUGCUGACUGAUUCUUUUGCCAGACAGAAACCUUUAAAUUUGGUGUAAUCCAUUUGUAAAUUUUGACUUUGACUGCCUGUGCCUCUGGGGUCUUUUCCAAAAGUCUUUGCCUGGGCUAUUGUGAAUGGGUUUGAUCUUAGACGUUGAAUAUCAGCUGUGGCACUUUCUGUGUCUACAAAAUCUGUUGAUUUUUUUGCAUUGACUUUAUAUCCUGCUACUUUAUAUAAGUUUUAAUAGUCUCUUAGUGGAGUCUUUUGGAUCCUUUGUUUGUCUACCUCCUUCCCAAUUUGUAUCCCUUUGAUUUCUUUUUCUUGCCUAAUUGUUCUGGCUUAACCUUCUAGAACUAUAUUGAAUAGCAAUGGUGACAGUGGGCAUCCUUGUCGGGUACCUGAUCUCAGUAGGAAUGCUUCCAACUUUUCCCCAUUCAGUAGGACACUGGUCGUGGUUUAUUCAUAAAUCAACUCAUUUGUGUUGAGAAAUGUUUCUUCUGUUCCCAGUUUCUUAAAUGUUGUUGUCAUAAAUUGCCUUGAUUGUGUUGAGGAAUGUUACCUCUAAACCAAUUUACUUAGAGUUUUUACCAUGAAAGGAUAUUAUAUAUCAUCAAAUGCUUUCUAUGCAUCUAUUGAGAUAAUAUAUGGUUUCUGUUCAUCUUUUUAUUAAUGUGAUUAAUUGAUUUGUGAAUGUUGAACCAUCCCUGCAUAGCAGGGGUGAAUCCCACCAGGUCUGGGUGGAUGAUCUUUCUAAUGUGCUGUUGGAUUCUAUUGGCUAGAAUUUUGUUGAGGAUUUUUGCAUCUAUGUUCAUUAGUGAAAUUGAUCUGUAAUUUUCUGUUGCAUCUUUUUCAGGUUUAGAAAUUAAGAUGGUGCUGGCUUCAUAGAAAAAAUUUGGAAGGAUUCCCAACCUUUCAAUUGUUUCGAAUAACUUGAGAAGAAUUGGAGUUAGUUCUUCUUUAAAUGUCUGGUAGAAUUUGGUAGUGAAGCCAUGAGGUUCUGGGCUUUUCUCUAUUGAGAGGGCCUUUAUUACUGAUGCCAUUUCCAUCUUGGUUAUGGGUCUGUUGGUUUUCUGUUUUCAUGGCUUUAUUUAGGUUUCUUGUAUGUGUCCAGGAAUCUAUCCUUCUAGUUUCCCAGUUUGUUGGCAUAUAGCUCUUUGUAGUAAUUUCUGAUGAUUCUUUUUAUUUCUGUGCUGUCUUUUGUUACAUUUCCUUUUUCAUCUCUAAUUUUGUUGAUCUUGCUCUACCUAUCCUUUUUUUUUUUUUUUUUUUUUUUUUUUUUUUGUUAGCUGGGCCAAUAGUAGGUCAAUUUUGUUUAUUUUUUCAAAAAUAGCUCUUUAGUUUGCUGAUGCUUUGUAUUGUUUCUUGAAUUCAAUUUUGUUGAUUUCUUCUCUAAUUUUAAUUAUUUUUCCCUACUAGUUUUGGGUUUGGUUUACUGUAGUUUUUUUAGAUCCUUGAGAUGCAUUAAUAGCUCAUUUAUUUGGUGCCUUUCCAAUUUUUGAUGUAGGCACCUAUUGUUAUGAACUUUCCUCUCAACACUGCUUUUGCUGCAUCCCAUAGGUUUCGAUAUGUUGUUUUGUCAUCUUCAUUUGUUUCCAGAAAUUUUUUCUAUCUCAGUUGAUUAUUCCAUGAGCCAUUAUUCGUUCAGGAGCAUGUUGUUCAGUCUCUAAGAGUUUGCAUAUGUUCUAGAGGUUCCUGGGUUGCUGACUUCCAGUUUCAUUGCAUUGUUUUCUGAGAAGAUGCAUGCUAUGAUUUAUAUUUUUUGAAUUUACUGAGACUUGAUUUAUAGUUGUAUAUGGUGAAUCCUAGAGAAAGUUCCAUGCACUGCUGAGAAGAAUGUGUAUUCUCCAAAUGUAGGAUGAAAAAGUCUGUUGAUAUCUGUUAGGUCUAGUUGGUCUACAGUGUCCAAUAAAUCUGCUGUUUCCUUGCUGAGUUUGUGUCUGGUUGAUCUGCCCAAUGCUGAAAGUAAAGUAUUGAAGUCCCCAAAUACUACUGUAUUGGAAUCUAAGUCUCUCUUUAAAUCUCAUAACAUUUCUUUUCCAUAGCCAGAUGCCCUGUAAUUAGGUGCAUAUACAUUUAUAAUAAUCACAGCUUCCUGUUAAAUUGAUCCCUUAAUCAUUACAUAGUGACCUUCUUUGUCUCUUUUAAAAGUUUUUGUGUUAAAGUCUAUUUGGCUGAUAUUAGGAUGGCUUACACCAUCUGUUUUUUGGUUUCUUUUGGCAUGGAAUAUCUUUUUCCAUCCUUUCAAUUUCAGUCUGUGUGCAUCUUGUUUGGUGAGAUGUGUUUCUUAUAUGCAGUAAAUAGAUAGGUUUUGUUUUUCAAUGGUUCAGCCAGUCUGUGUUUCCUAUCUGGAUAGUUAAGGCCAUUUACAUUCAAGGGGUCUAUUUAUAAGUAACAACUUUGCUCUGCCAUUUUUCCAAAAAUAUUCCUAUUUUUUCCUUUUAAUUUCCCAUGAACUUUUACUGAUUUUCUUUCUUCACCUUCUUUCGUAGUGAUGAGCGUGUUUCUGUGUGCAAUCCUUAAGCAUCUUUUGUAGGGCUGGACGGGUGGUGUCAAAUUCUUUCAAUUUCUGAUUGUUAUGAAAAGUCUUUAUUUCACCUUCAUUCAUAAAUGAGAGCUUUGGAGGGUAUAGUCUUCUAUGUUGUCAGUAGUUUUCUCCUAAGACUUGGAAUAUAUCUCGCCAUCUUUCCUAGCCUGUAGGGUUUCUGAUGAGAAGUCUGCUGUGAGUCUAAUUGGAGAUACUCUGAAAGUAAUCUGGUUUUCUCUGUGCACAUUUUAGAAUCUUUUCUUUAUGUUUUACUGUGGUGAGUUUGAUUUACAAUAUGUUGUGGUGAAGAUCUUUUCUGAUCAUUCUAUUAGGUGCUUCAGGUACUUCCUGUACUUGGAUGUCCUUUUUUUUCUCCAAAUUAGGGAAGUCUUCUGUUAUUAUUUUACUAAUAUUUUCUCUAUUUUCAAACCUUCAUGAACUCCUAGAACCCAUGUUCAGCCAUUUGAUAGUAUACUGUAGAUUUACAAUGUUUUUUUUUUUUUUUAAGUUUUUUGAUUUCUUUUGUUUUUGUUUGACUGUAUAAUUUCCUCUGCUUUGUCUUGUAAGUUGAUAUUCUUUCUUCGGCAUUUGUGGAGAUAGUCGUUGGUUUCUUCUUCUUUUUUUUUUUUUUUUUUUUCCUGUGGUGGCUUUUAUCUUUGUACUAUGACUCUUUAGGUAAGUGGAGUGUCUGCUUUCAGUGAAUAUCUGGAGGCUUGUAGUGGGUGUGGUCAGAGAGCUCUUUUAAGUUCUCCAGAUCAAAGGGCACACCUAAGGUACAUACCCAGGUUUUGCCUGGUAAAUCUCUCCCAUUUUUUUUAAUAAGGGAGGUUUAUUCUUCUCAGCUGAGAUCCUCUCCUGAAAGGAGACCAUUGCCUGAAUUCUAGCCCCAGUGGGUAUAAUAUUCAUCUGCUCUGCCCCUAAGACCACACAAAGGAUCUGUGCAGUCCUCAGUGUAAUUUCAGAUACCCCUGCAGUGUUCACCAAGUAACCAGGGAGCCCUGAGCUUGUGGAGUCUCCUAUAGUGAUUGCCCAAGUCCUAGCCACACUGUAAUUCCUCCUGCAAAGCCUUAGUUUUUUUUACAUAGUCUUUGCACAGAGGCUUCCCACAGUCACAAGCUCCUAACCCCCUGUUAGUUCUCCCCACCAGAAUCAGGAGUCUCUACUUGGCUGGUUGCUGGGAGUGGACACAAACUGGUGCAUCUGCAUGUAUGUCCAAAUUGGUGCCCACUCUAUCUGCUUGUUACGGGAUGCCAUUGUAAAGUGAUUGGCGGAAAAUGUGCCCUUCUUUUUUUUUUUUUCUCCUCUAGUUUGGCAGGUACACUAUCACCCAUGGGGCUCCAAGCCAGGUUCCUUCUAGGCUCUUCCUGCAACUUUAUCACCAGUGGAUUGGGUUGCUGUGGUCUGGUUCACCCUCCAAUGGCUGCCACAGCCAGCGCGCUGCGGCCUGCGCACCGCGCUGAUCCGAUGGCAGGAGCCAGAUUCUUCUCCUGGUCUCCCGUGGGGUGCAGGGCCCAAGUACUUGGGCCAUCCUCCACUGCACUCCCUGGCCACAGCAGAGAGCUGGCCUGGAAGAGGGGCAACCAGGACAGAAUCUGGCGCCACCACCUGUGGUACUGACAUCCCAUAUGGGUGCCGGUUUGAGUCCUGGUUCUCUACUUCCGAUCCAGCACUUUGCGAUGCCCUGGGAAAGCAGUGGAGGAUGGCUCAAGUCUUUGGGUCCCUGCACUUCAUGGGAGACCCAGAGGAAGCUCUUGGCUCCUGGCUUUGGAUUGGUGCAGAUUGGCAUUUACUGUUCCUAGGCUCAUGAAAGAAGCUUCUUAUUGUUCCACAAAAGUCCUUAUAUAGUCUUAGACAUCACUUAAAUAUUUUACAAACCAUUGACUACUAGGGUCCCAUUGCUUUGGGUAAAGAGACUCUUCUUUCAUCCAUAUGCUUCCAUAGUUUCUCAUAGUGCUAAUCCACAGAACCAUUGAGUUAGAAUCAUCUAGAGCAUUGCCACAUCUACAGAUAGCUGAGCCCUAUUCCAGAUUUCCCGAAUCAUACCUUGGAGGUACAGAUAAUGAAUUUACACCUUUACAAGCCCCUGGGAGAUUUGCUUGUACACUACAAUUUGAAAUUUCAGUGCUGGACAGUAAAAGGUAAAAUGACCAAGAGGAAAAAAAUAUGACUAAAAAUAACUACAAUCUGAAAUUAAAAUCUUGAUAGAUUGCUGGUUAUAUGCUCAACAUUUGAAACAUUUGAACAUAAAUGGCAAAGCCACAAUUUAGAAUGAUAUAUAUAUAUAUAUUUUAGAAAAUACCCUGAAAAAAACUUUUUUUAAAGCAAUUUGGUUAAUUUAGCUCUGGUUUACAUCCAAACUCUUGGUUUCCAUGUUGGGUAGUAACUAUAAAGCAACAUAAAAUCUCCUUUGUGGUGAGUGAUGGUUUGGGGAGGCCAACAUGCUGUUUUAAACUUCAGCUUUAAAAUAACCUUCAGAAUUUUCAAUUCGUGUGCUUUCUCUCUCUCUCUCUCUCUCUCUCUCUUUUUUUUUUUUUGACAGGCAGAGUGGACAGUGAGAGAGAGAGACAGAGAGAAAGGUCUUCCUUUGCCGUUGGUUCACCCUCCAAUGGCCGCCGAGGCCGGCGCGCUGCGGCUGGCGCACCGCGCUGAUCCAAUGGCAGGAGCCAGGUACUUCUCCUGGUCUCCCAUGGGGUGCAGGGCCCAGGCACUUGGGUAAUCCUCCACUGCACUCCCGGGCCACAGCAGAGAGCUGGCCUGGAAGAGGGGCAACCGGGACAGAAUCCGGUGCCCCGACCGGGACUAGAACCCGGAGUGCCGGCGCCGCAAGGUGGAGGAUUAGCUUAGUGAGCCACGGCGCCGGCCUCAUAUGCUUUCUCUUACCUUGCAGUUUUUAGAAGAUGAACAUGAAAAGACUGUCUGUUGCUUUGUAGCGAUUUGAAUUUUUAUGUCACUUCCAUCGCCUUUCCCAACACCUUUAUAAAAUUGAAAAGAUAGGCACACUAAUGAGGAAACAGUAAAAUAUUCUAGCUGGUUCAAAGUACCACACAUUGACAGGCAGAUAGUAAAUGAUGCAGUGAACCUACAGCUAGAUGUAAAUGGGUCAGUAACCAAUUGCAAUCCACUGAGCAUAUCCAGGUUUCAUUUCUUUGUACAAAAGUUGUUUGCAUGAUCACUUUUCUACAACUUGCAAGGUAGUUGAAGAGCUCAAAGACAAUGAAAGAUGAAGAUAAUCCUAGAAAGCAUGUAGUAACAGAUAAGACAUCACCCAUUUCAAAGCCUCUCAUUCUUUCUCCUCUCACUCUCCCCAGCUCCUCUCUCUUGUUGUCACAACCAUUUGGAAGAUUAUUUUUAUUCCCAAAUCACACUGAUCCCAGUGGGUCUGGCCUGAUUAUCUACAUGGGUGCAGGACAAUUUUAACUUGCCCAACUGGCCUCCCUGAUUCGGUCUAUAAGCUAAGACUCAUGGAAAGCUGAAACCUAGGGUCAUGAAACCUCAGAUUCCUUUUUUUUUUUUUUUAAAUUAUCUGUUUAUUUACUGCAAAGGCAGAGUUAUAGAGAGAUAGCGAGAGACAGAGAAAGAUCUUCCAUCUACUGGUUCACUUCUUCAAAAUGGCUGCAAUACUCAUGGGUGGGCCAUGCUAAGGCUGCACCCAGAUCUCCAUCUGAGUCUCCCACUUAGCUGUCAGGGACCCAAACACUCAGGCCAACCUCUGCUGUCCUCCCAGGUGCUCCCACAGGGAGCUGGAUUUGGACAAGCACUUACAUGGAUUGCUGACAUUGUCGGCAAUAGCUUAACCUUCUGUGACACAAUGCUGGCCCCUGAGAUUGAUGUUUUUAAAUCCUCUAUUUUAUGUUAGUCUGAAAGAAUGAAAUCAUGCCCAUAAAAUUGCACAUGACUUCACAUCCAUUAACUACUAUUAUAAAUCUGGGCUAGUUCUUCUGUUUUCCAGAUAUCCACCUUACAGUUGUAAGCAAUGUCUCUACAGGAUUUAAAUAAAAUCCAAAAUAGUAUUUUUGAAAGCUUUUAUUUAAUAAAUAAAAUAUAUUUAUUUAAUAAAUAUAAAUUUCAUAGGUACAACUUUUUUAUAUAGUGGUUCUUCCCCGCAUACCUGCCCUCCUACCCUCACUCCCAUCCCAGCUCCUACUCCCUCUCCCAUCUCAUUCUUCAUUAAGAUUCAUUUUAACUAUCUUUAUAUACAGAAGAUCAACUCUAUACUAAGUAAAGAUUUCAACAGUUUGCACCCACACAGACACACAAGGUAUAAAAUACUGUUUGAAGACCAGUUUUAUCGUUAAAUCUCACAGUACAACUCAUUAACUGCUGAGGUCCUACAUGGGGAGCAAAUGCACAGUGACUCCUGUGGUUGAUUUAACAAUUGACACUCUUAUUUAUGAUGUCAGUGAUCACCCAAGGCUCUUGUCAUGAGCUGCCAAGGCUAUGGAAGCCUUUUGAGUGCACAAAUUCUGACAUUAUUUAGACAAGGCCAUAAUCAAAGUGGAAGUUCUCUCCUCCCUUCAGAGAAAGGUAACUCCUUCUUUCCACUGGGAUCUAUCACAGAGAUCUUUCAUGUGGGCCAUUUUUUGCCACAGCCUGAAAUGCUGUCAUGGGCAUUUUAGCCAGAUCCAAAUGCCUUAAGGGCUGAUUCUGAGGCCAGAGUGCUGUUUAGAAUUCGAGUUUUGAGAAACUAUUUUAUUCUCAUUGUUCCUAUGAAAGAAAGGUGUUAAACUUCAUUAGACUAAAAUAAAAUGCCAAUUGACUUCCCUGAAAUGGUUUAAUACUCACCAGGAUUUCUUUAGAUACCCUAGAGUAAAGCUCAUCUGUAUAUAGCCACAAGCAAAUCUUCCCAAAGAAUGGGAACACUGUCACUUCUGCCCAGUUUUUCAAUUAUACGUAAGACACUUACUAUGAAUUGAAUGAAUGAUAAUUUCUUUUGGCCAGAGGAUCUUUCUUGGUGGGAGAGUCCAGUGGUGGAGACGCUUCACCUUUUCAAAGUAGCCUACAUAUCUAUGCUGCAAAGCAACAGAAGCUUCAAGUUAGAUGGAGAUGAAAAGCUGAAAGUCAGAAAUUCCUAUUGUGAGGGCAGGGCAUAGAGCUUUGUAAGGGCAGCAAGAUAUUAAGGAAACACUUGCUGGAUUCUGUUAUAAAACAGAGUAUUUUUAUGUUUGUGGCAUUAUAACUGCCUUAGGAAACAAUAUUGAACUAAGUGCUAUGGGAGGAAACCAGAAAGGAGUCAGGUCUGGCUUAUAGGUUGAUUAUAAUUAUGAUUGUGUUUUAGACUACAACAUUAUCCAUGUGUGGAUAGAAGCAAGGUUGUGACUGAGUUACAGAAAGCUUUGGAUUUGGGUGAGGAAUUAUCACUUGACAUAAAGGAACCUCUGCCAUGGGGCCUUGCCAACAGAGCUCUCAGACCUGAAAUCUGCAACUGAGUCCUUCUAUUGCUACCCCAGUGAAUCAGAAGAUAUUCAGGUGUGGCAUAUGGUGUGCUAGUUCUGGACUAAAGUCUGGGAAACUGUGCAUGACUACAGGAGAAAUGGAGAAAAGAUGUAUGGAGAGAGUCAGUGAAGGAGCUACAUUUCACAUACCCUUGGCUCCUGCCACCAGAUUCAUGGCAUGAGAACACAGUAUUAAAAAGCUGAGAAAUAGCAAAGGGUCUAACUGUGUUAGAGUAUGGGAUAUGUGACAGCACUUAGUGGAGGAGAACAUUUGAAAAAUCCAAUUGUAGAAGAUCUUGAGAGCCAGCUGAGGACAUAUAGUUGCCAUUGGCAGCAGAGAGCCACCAUGGAUUUUGGGCAUGGAAAUGGUGUGAUUAAAGAUGGACUUCAGUAAGUUGGUAUAUUACUUUCAGCCUAUGGUGUGUGUGUAUCUUGGUUUUUUUGGCUUAGGUAUGGGAGAAAAGCAUUAGUGGGUAAGGCUGAAUUUUUUAUCCACUGGUCACCUUCCAAAUGGCUGCAAUGGCUAGAGCUAAGCUGAUCUGAAGCCAGGAGCCAGGAGGUUCUUCUGGGCCUCCCAAGUGUGUGUAGGGGCCCAUGUCCUUGUGCCAUCCUCCACUGCUUUACCACGCACAAUAGCAUGGAGCUGCAUCAGAAGUGCAAACGACAGGACUCAAUUUGUUGCCCAUAUGGGAUGCCUGCCCUGCAAGCCAGGGCUUUAAUGCACUGUACCAGAGCACUGGCCCCAGGAUGCAUGAUUUUAACAAGUUUUUUUCAUCUAAUCGUUACAGUUAUUCUAGAUACAAACAGUGUGUCUUAUGUAGAAUUGCAUCUUAGGGAAACAGAAAGUACUCCACAGAUCCUACAGUAAAAAGAUUUAAAGAGUGUCUAAAAAACUAGCUUUCCAGGGAGAGUAAAUUUUACAAAUCUCAAUCCUACUCUUUCUAUCAUUAUUUUGUGUUUAUUUGUGUUUGAAGAGGAUUGUGUACUUCUUGAUGAAAUAUGUAUGUAUGUAUAUAUAUACACACACAUAUAUAUGUUUGUUGGUCUGUGUAAGUUCCAAAAUGUUUCCAAUAAAAUACUUAUAUUUUAAUUUCAUUUAUACACAACCUUUCUGAAAUACACACACAUGCCAAGUGCAUGCUCACACACCUAUUUAUUCAAAAUCUUUUCAAAAAUAUGUACUUAUUUAUUUAGAAGGCAAAGAGACACAAAAAAACAACAAUAACAACCAAUCCAGUGAAGAAAUGGGAGAGGAUCUGAAUAGAGAGUUUUCAAAAGAAGAAACAUAAAUUGUCAAGAAAUACAUGAAAAAAUGCUCAACAUCAUUAGACAUUAGGGAAAUGCAAAUCAACAUCACAAUAAGACAUCAACUCACCCCUCUCAGAAUGGCUGUUACAAAAAAGAACAAUAACGUUAGUGGUGAUUAUGAGAAAGAGGAACUCUUUUAUGCUGUCUGAGGGAAUGUAUUUAGUGCAGCCACUGUGGAAAAUGUAUGGAAAUUUUCUUAGCAACUAGAAAUACAGUUGCCCUAAGACCAAGCAAUCACACUCCUGGAUAUAUACCUCAAAGACAUUAGAUACAUGUUCCAUCAUGUUUAUGGCAGAAUUGUUCACAAUAGCCAAAUUAUGCAAUGAACCAAGGUGUUCAUUAGCAGAUGACUGGAAAAAAAGUGAUAUACACACACAUACCCACACUGGAAUAUUAUUCAGCUAUUAAAAAAAGAAUGAAAUUCUAUCAUUUGCAACAAAAUGGUUUGAACUGAAAACAUCAUGUAAAUUCAAAUAUGCUAGACAUAGAAAGAUAAAUACACAUGUCCUCCUUCUUAUGUGGGAGCUUAAAUUCAAAAAAAAAAAAGGAAGGAAGAGGAAGGGAAAGGAAGAGAAAUGGAAAGUAUUAAAGAAAAUAUACCUGUGUGAAUCAGUUCUGCUGCAUAUACAGUGUUUUGUCAAACUUUGCUUUAAACAUUUGACCAACAGAUUGAUAAGAAUUAUAUGCUCUAAUAGUA